AGCAAUGAAUCAAAAGUUAUUGCAGUUCGAAGUUGAAAAAAAUACCCGGGUAUCCGGUUGCCAACUUAAAGGUUAAGGUGUAAAGGGUGAUUAAUGCUAGUAACGUUGUGUAAUGUUAUGCAGAACAAAAUGCAGCAUAAAUGGCGAUGAGCCAGCAUUGUUCAAAGGUGCCGGAUGUUAUACGUUAGAGCCGUUCUUUGUGGUGUGAUGUGUUAACCACCUUGCUGCCAGUUAUUAGGAUUAGGAUUAAACCAGUAUUAGGAUUAGGAUAUAAUUAGGAUUUAAACCAGUGCCGUUGAAUAAAAUGGUGUACAACAGGUUAGAAAACAUUCGGUGUAUUUUGUUUUGUUUUUUUAAAGCUCUUUCGAUUACCUAUUACGGAAGCAAAUAUGUUUCACUAAUGUGCAAAAGGUAAGGAAUUAGUGAUCGCGUUGGUAGGUAAUUGCUCGUUUACGGUGUUUCUCCAUUUGUAUUUAUUGUUUCUCGCCCGCUGUGUUUGCUUCCCCAUUUCUCAUAAUGGUGCGUACGUUUCAUUAACAAUGUGCAUUAGAUGGUGAUGUUACAUGAUAAGUAAAUGUUGAGCGUGUUGGCGGGUUUAAAAAAAAUAUUUUACUUGUCCUGCUCCGUUGGUUGUCUGGUUGUCUGGCUGGCUGGCUGGCUGGCUGGUUGGAUGGCAGAAUGGCUCACUGGCUGGUUAGUGCAGACUAUGAUCGGAUGCGCAUUUCCCUACGCCGCAGUGCCGGGUGCAUCAUACGUCGGUGUUGGGUUGCUGUUACUGGGCCGAGCGGAUGCGCGUGCACACGUGGGAAUAAACGACACGCAACCGUGGUAUUUUAUAUUGCAUCGGUACGAUUAUCGUGUUCAAAGGCUUUUUCGAGAAAUGCCAAUACAUAAAUCGGUUAGUUCGUUUAUAUCGGUUUCUCAAACCCCUGCAAGCAAUGGUCCAUCAUUUCAGUCUUACACUUUUGACGAACGAAUGCCUGGUCGCUAGCUGCAGCUUCCCAUCGAUGUAGGCACACGAUCUUCGAGAUUUUACUUCACCUGAUCUAGCCAUCGCACUCGCUGUGCUUCCUCGCUUCUAGUACCGAACUGAGAGCCGCUCGAACACCUAGCUGCUGGGGCACGAGGCUGCCUUCUUCACAACAUGCUCCAGCCAUCGCAAACAGCCAUGUCCGGUGCGCCAUAUGGCUUCAGUAAGCUCGUGGAUAAUCAUUCGCAUCCACACCCCAUGCUCGAAUUCACCGCCAAAGAUGAUCCGGAGGAUGCGUCGGCCAUCGUGUUACGCCGCUGUCCUUUGCAUGCUGUAAAAAAACAUACCUAUUCAUCGUCGGCCAAUGGUGCAGCACGAACGCAACGUGAUACAUCGUGACAUCAUCCGGAAAACUUGCAGCUGGGGCACGGUGGUGAUCUGAAGAUAGCUGAUUUCGGUUGGUCCGUGUACGAGCCGACCUUGUUCCGGUACGACGCUGUGCGUUUCGCUCGACUAUUUAUCGCCCUAGAUGGUACAUGGUCAGCCGCACACAAAAACUGUCGAUCUCUGGAAUUUGGGCGUGCUGGCGUAAGGCCCCGUUUUUGGCGACCACGUAUGAAGAAUCGUACCGUAAAAUUAUGAAGCUGCAGUUUAAGAUGCCGCCAGAUGUAACGAAGCCGGCGGCCCAUCUGAUCUCGCGACUGUUCGUUAAGGAUCUGGCCAGCCGUAUGCCGCUGAAACAUGUUGCGUCCAUCCCUGGAUUCUGCUGCACGUGCACAAAAAGUAAAUAGGAAUUGCUGCUACCAUGUACCAUUUAUAGUUAUGUUCUCACUAAGUAUGUUUAUAAGAUACCUGUACCUUUUAGUUUUUUAAACCCUAUCUCUUAUAAGAAGUAGUGGUAUUUGAAUUGAAUAUGAACAAGGCAAGUGUAAUGAUAAGUAAUGAUAAUUGUUAUUUGUGUGUUCACUCAAAUGUUAUUAUACUUUCUUCAUGUUCAACAUCUGUUAUUAUUUCAAUUAUUAACAAUAAAAUAUGGCAAAAUAUUUUUUAAGCUAUAGAUCGUCUUUGUAUUGAAUGAGUGCAAUUGAUGGGUUUUGCAUUAUGAUGAUCAAUACCGUGACCAGCCUCUCGG